GAGAAACUUGUGUUGGAACUUGGGUAGAAUUUGCCCCUUUGUGAACCAGCUGUGUGCAACACCAGUGUCCAGGAGCUCUGCUCUCUUCACUAGCUGGUACCCAAAUGACAGGAGAUGCAUUCUGCGUAUCCCUGUCAUCUGUAACGUUUAGCUGUUGUUCAAAGCAAGUAAAACUUUAAAGGAUGCACAGUUCCACAUUUCUAAUGGCAUGUAUGUAGCGAGUUCGGUAAUAAUAAAGCCUCUUUCUUCUCCAGUAUCUUUCUUCUCCCACUUUUUACUUGACUACAACACCACGUUUGUGAAGCGCAGCUCAGUAUUGGCAGGGUAUGCUGAACGUAGCUUGCUAAGGGAGGGUCUGCAGCGGUAGCGUUAUGUCAGUGUUUUUGUAGGCACAGCCUUGUGAUUUCCAGCACUUGGCGCUGCUUGGGAGGAGCUAUUGCCUGCCUUUUAUUUAUUAAUUUAUUUUCCAGAGGAGAUCACCUUUAUGUUGAUUUAUUUGUUUUGUUCUCUUUGCUAUUCCUGGCAUCCAGAGAUCCAUACUCAAGCUGCUAUUUAACAUUGUCAAAUUGAUUGGGAAAAUGAAGUGGACGGGAAGCAGUAUAAUUGAUCUCUAUAAAAUGGGGGCCCAGCUGAAGCUGUGGUAGGCUCACGGAGCACUCAGGUGAUGCUCGCAGACUGGAAGGUGUUUGGCUAUAAAGGAACGCUGAGAGCUUGGAAUUGUUUUUCUCCUUGGAUGGUGACAGCAGUAACAUACGAUCCUCAUUAAUUCAGCAAUGUGCUCACAAGGAAAGGCAAAGGAGUAAAGCAGUAAGUGGAGUCCUCUCAUUCCUGAAUCAGUCAGUGAUAUCCUUCCUCCUGCCUUCCAACCAAGGAUAGUUGCUAAUCGACAGAGUUGUUCCAGACAAAAUGCCAAAUGUCACUAGUGUUGCAGCAGAGCUCAGAGAGAUGGAAAAAUCACUGCUGGAUGUAUCCCUGUUGGAUGGCAACAGUCCUUUCUCCAUCUCCUCCUUUUAAACUGCUCUCCCAUGAAGAAUCAGAGGGGAUGGAAAAAGUAGUAUUUGUUGCAUUCUGCCGUCCUGAUGCUGCUGGUACAGAAAACGGCCCUCUAGACCCUCCUCGAUCCCAGCACGCUUGUCAAGACCACCUCUCCUUCACCCCUUAACAUAAAUGCUUCGUCUGCCGUGGUAGGUUUCGCUCACCCAUUCGUUUCUGCAGUUCGGAAGAGUGACUGAAUCCAAUGCAGACUCUUCCCUUUUAAAGGAUUUAGGGAAAAUAAUAGAGCAGCUGAGUUGUGUGGCUUAAUUACUGCCUGUGAGCUGCAGUACAGUGAGGGUUACGUGCAUGCUUGGAGACUAGUGCACUUGGACUGCUUUUAUUUAUAACUUGUCACCUUCAUAUUUAGUUUCAGAACAGAGCACAAACAACUUUUUUUUAUUAUUUUAUUUUUUUUAUAAAUUGUUUCCAAAUUGAUUUGAUCUGUUGGCUUCCCUCUUUCUUAGACAUAUCCUUUAAAGCUGGAAAAAAAAAAAUAGUGUCUGUACGCUCCUGGGCAGGCUUGUUUUCUCACUGGGCUUUGUAACUUGAUUAGAUGUGCUGUGUGCCACUGCAGUCACUCCAGGUGGUGUAGGUUGACAAUACUUUCUGAGGGUGUUUUUUUCCUUGUGUGGGUUAGGGUUGUGGUUGUAACGGGCAAUUAUGAAGCAGUAGUAACACGUUAAUCCAUUGCAGCAGUUGUCGAUUGUCUUUUCCUAACGUGAGAUCAACCCACAGUUUGACUGUAUAAAGUAUUAAUUUAAAACCUGGCAUAAAAAAAACAUGUAACAUCGCUUUUCUUGAUCCAGAGAAGAAGUCAUGCAAAAUUGACAUCUCAGGAAGUAACUGCCUUUCAAGUCCACCCAUUGUUGUCACAUACUUGAAGUUUCUAAAUAAGCUUUAUCUGGAGUGGGACGUCUUGUUUUUCUCCUUUCACAAUAUCUAAAAUUCUUGCUCAAAAAAAAAAAAAAAAGUAGAUGUGGAAAUAGGAAGUAAAACUCUUAAUAAAUGGAGUUUUCUGUCGGGGAAGCAAAGUACGAGAACAAGCUAAAAAUUCCUCUGUAAACAACUUGCACUUAAAUAUGCUAGCAGAUGUUAUUCUAUCACUUUGAACUGUGCAUCACUGAAGUGUAUUGGGAUAUCUUAAAAUAGUCAGGGGUGGUGGCCAGAGACUCUAGACUACUAUAGAUGGUGAGGCUGCCUCGCCGUUGCAAUGAAAUAAGCCAGAAGUACAUGCUGCUAAGGUCAUUAGCCUGCUCAAGGUCAGCAUGUUCAAAGUCAGCUGCUGUACUUGUGGGCAUGGUUACUGUCAGUAAUAUAGAUGAGAAAAGAGUCCCGAUAACGUGAUAAUGCACGGAUUUGCUUUUCUGAGUGAUUUGAGGCACUCCUAACCAGUUUUCACCCUGUAAAGUUGGAAGGCUGUGAUUGCUGAUUUGUUUUCUUUUCUGAGCAGAUAGAAUUUAAUGUCGAGAUAAGCUUCUGUAGCUUGUAUCUGCAAACAAAUUACUUUGUUGAUCUGGUGAGAUUGUUUGCGCUCUUUGCAGUGUUCAUUAAUUGUUUAAUUGACUUCCUAUUUUGAACUUCCAUUUCCUGAUUGCCAGGACCCAGCCAGAACCACAAAAAGGACUGACAAUCUUAGCUCACCAAACUCUGUGUCUAUUUGCUAAUAAAUACAGUUUCAAUUCCCUUAUUAUUUUCUAGUCAAUAUACUGUGGUCCCUGAGACCUUACUACUCUCUGUUAAUAGAAGCAGAAAACAAGAGUAGGUUUUUCUCGUUUUCAGAGGUUUUUUUUGCUUUUUGUGCUGUGGAAAAGAAUGGCAGGGUUGCUGCAAAUUUACAACUGCUUUUAUCCUCUCUGAAGAUCCGGAGGAGUAUCGUGGCGAUGGGAGUGGAUGAAAUAGUGGCCAGCCUUCAAGCUGUCGUUUUUCUGAGCUAGAGAUUUUCUGACUAACAUAAGCAGGAGCAGGCAUGCUUGUGACAUGAAGCAUUAGAAGGCACCGUGUAUCUGAGGGAGAUUCAAGUAAUUCCAGCCCAGGUUUUGAAUGAGUAGUGAUGGUAGGAGCAGCAGCUUAAAUCAGAGUUCAGAUGACAGUUCUCCUGGCGUUUAGGCUGCUACAGUUUGAAGAGGGGGAAAAUUCCUUUACAAUCCUUUUUAAAUAAAGGAGAAAGAGCUCUUUGCGCUUGCUGUAUUUGAGGUUGUUGGGGUUAAAUGAUAGACGUAAGCUUGCCAUGGCAGGUGCAAAUAGUAAGGGGGGUACACCUAAAACAUUUUACACUUCACCGGUUUUGGUCUGAACCGACAUGUAAAAUACUAUAAUCAUUUAAAAAAAAAAAACAACAAACCAGCGACAAGAAAAAACCUUUCUGUGACUUCUAGCAUGAAGUGGAAAGUGGCAGAUGUCUGCUGUAAAAAUAAGUAUUGGGGAUGUAAUUAAGUGCAGUUAAAAUUUAUAUAUGAAAAUAAAUUGAAAUGUGGGUGUUGAGCCGAGGUCCCCCAGAAAAUGCCUGCCUGGAAGCAUUUUCUAUCAUACACGAUGCUGUCCAGACCGUUGUGUGCAGGGGUAGGGCCGCCUGUGGGGUCUUCUGUGUCUCAGCGCCAAAAUUAUCAAGUACUAGAAACAAACACAUCCAUACUUCAUAGAGAAGGUCUUUAAAUGAUAACAAAUGUGGAACGUGUUAGGGCUCACUUAAUCUCCUUGUGCUUCCAAAAGUCUAAGCUUUCUUUACUGACCAUAGUGAUAAAUUCAGA